rnacentral:rRNA from 1 species
CAAGCCUGCGAUCUAUAGCUGGUCUGAGAGGAUGAUCAGCCACACUGGAACUGAGACACGGUCCAGACUCCUACGGGAGGCAGCAGUGGGGAAUAUUGGACAAUGGGCGAAAGCCUGAUCCAGCCAUGCCGCGUGAGUGAUGAAGGCCUUAGGGUUGUAAAGCUCUUUUGUCAGGGAAGAUAAUGACGGUACCUGAAGAAUAAGCACCGGCUAACUUCGUGCCAGCAGCCGCGGUAAUACGAAGGGUGCUAGCGUUGUUCGGAAUCACUGGGCGUAAAGCGCGCGUAGGCGGCUUUUCAAGUCAGGGGUGAAAUCCUGGGGCUUAACCUCAGAAUUGCCUUUGAAACUGGAAAGCUUGAGUGUCGGAGGGGAUAGCGGAAUUGCUAAUGUAGAGGUGAAAUUCGUAGAUAUUAGCAGGAACACCGGUGGCGAAGGCGGCUAUCUGGACGACAACUGACGCUGAGGCGCGAAAGCGUGGGGAUCAAACAGGAUUAGAUACCCUGGUAGUCCACGCCGUAAACGAUGGGUGCUAGCCGUAGGAAGGUUACCUUUCUGUGGCGCAGCUAACGCGUUAAGCACCCCGCCUGGGGAGUACGGUCGCAAGAUUAAAACUCAAAGAAAUUGACGGGGACCCGCACAAGCGGUGGAACAUGUGGUUUAAUUCGAGGCAACGCGAAGAACCUUACCAGGUCUUGACAUGCUUCUCGCGGACU